AUUGAACGCUAACGGCAUGCCUUACACAUGCAAGUCGAACGGCAGCACGGGAGCAAUCCUGGUGGCGAGUGGCGAACGGGUGAGUAAAGUAUCGGAACGUGCCCAGUCGUGGGGGAUAACGUAGCGAAAGUUACGCUAAUACCGCAUACGAUCUACGGAUGAAAGCGGGGGAUCGCAAGACCUCGCGCGAUUGGAGCGGCUGAUAUCAGAUUAGGUAGUUGGUGGGGUAAAGGCUCACCAAGCCGACGAUCUGUAGCUGGUCUGAGAGGACGACCAGCCACACUGGGACUGAGACACGGCCCAGACUCCUACGGGAGGCAGCAGUGGGGAAUUUUGGACAAUGGGCGCAAGCCUGAUCCAGCCAUGCCGCGUGCAGGAUGAAGGCCUUCGGGUUGUAAACUGCUUUUGUACGGAACGAAAAGGUUUGGCCUAAUAAGCUGGACCCAUGACGGUAUCGUAAGAAUAAGCACCGGCUAACUACGUGCCAGCAGCCGCCGCCG
rnacentral:rRNA from 1 species